CAAUAGCAUAUAUUAACGUUGUUGCAGUUGAAAAGCUCGUAGUUGAACUUUUGGUAGGAGCGACCUGGCCUUGGGCGCAUGCCCUUGUUUGCCGUGUGUCGUAUCUGGCCAUCCUUUUCCGUUUCGGCGGGAAUCUUUUACUGUGAGUAAACUGGAGUGCUCAAAACAAGACGUUUGUUUGGUACAUUAAAGCAUGGAAUAAUAAGAUAGGACCUGGUUACUAUUUUGUUGGUUUGCAUAGCUAGGUAAUGAUUAACAGGGACAGUUGGGGGUACUCGUAUUUAAUUGUCAGAGGUGAAAUUCUUGGAUUUAUGAAAGACGAACGACUGCGAAAGCAUUUACCAAGGAUGUUUUCAUUAA
rnacentral:rRNA from 1 species